AAAGUCAUCUCCAUUAAAGGUCAGAGCUGCAAAAAAAAAUGUGUCUGCUGCAUAAUUGCAUCAUUACAUGAUUAUAUCUUGUGUCUUACCGCAGCCUUGGAGACCCGCAAAGAGGAACAAUGCAAAGGUGAUUGAGGUCAUUGUCUCGUCUGGAAUCAACAGCUUCUGGAGCGGAAUCUGCGCGAGGCGUAACAAAAUGCAGCUUUUAUGCCUUUCCCACCCGGUUUUAAGGGGGCGCUGGUGCCUCUCUCAGCUACAAUCGGACGGACGGCGGUGUAUACCCUGGACAAGUCGCCACCUCAUCGCAGUAAAAGGGUGAAGCUUUCCUAUGGAUCACAGCGGUCAAGCGAACAUGGAUCCCGACCAAAUGUCAACCAGCAGUUUUCGGUGAGAAAAUUGUGGUAAAAAGUCGCCUCUUACCGGAGAUCAGCUGAGCUUGUGCCGCCCAUAAAGCUGCCGUCGAAUUCCAUCAGACACUGGCGUCAAGACACCCGUGGACACACCCCUUCGACUAUCAGGUACUGUUAAACUCACUAAAACACUAGCAACACAAUAGAAAGAUAAGGGAUUUCCCAGAAUUAUCCUAGUAAAUGUGUCUAAAAACAUCUAAAUCGCUCCCAA